rnacentral:lncRNA from 1 species
UUCAAAUCCCAACAACGAAGAUUUAGUCACUCAUCCUCGCUAUCACAAUGCUCGAUUCAUGAAAAUAUACAAGAAAAUUGGAUUUAGAGUCGUUCCCACGACUUGUAUCAUCUUUCCUAGUGUUUCUCUCCUAAAUUUAGUGCCUCAAAGCUUUGGAAAAGUGAUUGUAUAACUCCUUCUGACUUCCGAAACCGCCCAUAUCAGUUCCACUUCCAAACCCUCGCCCAAGCUAUAGAUUCUCGCUUGGGCGAGAGAAUAUGAGACUUCCAAGCCUGAGCACCUAGCUUGGGUGAGGUGCCCCUCGCUUGGGUGAGGAUUCUUCCCUUAAGCGAGGAUCAGGCAGAAUAAACAUGUCUCUUUAGCUCCAUUUGUCGCUUGAGCGACAGUCCCUCGGUUGGGCAAGGGGC